rnacentral:rRNA from 1 species
UGGCUCAGGACGAACGCUGGCGGCGUGCCUAAUACAUGCAAGUCGAGCGAGCGGAACUAACAGAUUUACUUCGGUAAUGACGUUAGGAAAGCGAGCGGCGGAUGGGUGAGUAACACGUGGGGAACCUGCCCCAUAGUCUGGGAUACCACUUGGAAACAGGUGCUAAUACCGGAUAAGAAAGCAGAUCGCAUGAUCAGCUUUUAAAAGGCGGCGUAAGCUGUCGCUAUGGGAUGGCCCCGCGGUGCAUUAGCUAGUUGGUAAGGUAAAGGCUUACCAAGGCGAUGAUGCAUAGCCGAGUUGAGAGACUGAUCGGCCACAUUGGGACUGAGACACGGCCCAAACUCCUACGGGAGGCAGCAGUAGGGAAUCUUCCACAAUGGACGCAAGUCUGAUGGAGCAACGCCGCGUGAGUGAAGAAGGUUUUCGGAUCGUAAAGCUCUGUUGUUGGUGAAGAAGGAUAGAGGUAGUAACUGGCCUUUAUUUGACGGUAAUCAACCAGAAAGUCACGGCUAACUACGUGCCAGCAGCCGCGGUAAUACGUAGGUGGCAAGCGUUGUCCGGAUUUAUUGGGCGUAAAGCGAGCGCAGGCGGAAGAAUAAGUCUGAUGUGAAAGCCCUCGGCUUAACCGAGGAACUGCAUCGGAAACUGUUUUU